rnacentral:rRNA from 1 species
UGGGGAAUCUUGGACAAUGGGCGCAAGCCUGAUCCAGCCAUGCCGCGUGAGUGAUGAAGGCCUUAGGGUUGUAAAACUCUUUCGCCGAGGACGAUAAUGACGGUACUCGGAGAAGAAGCUCCGGCUAACUUCGUGCCAGCAGCCGCGGUAAUACGAAGGGGGCUAGCGUUGUUCGGAUUUACUGGGCGUAAAGGGCGCGUAGGCGGCCCGUUUAGUCAGGCGUGAAAUGCCCGAGCUCAACUCGGGAAAUGCGCUUGAUACUGGCGGGCUUGAAUCCGGGAGAGGAUGGUGGAACUCCCAGUGUAGAGGUGAAAUUCGUAGAUAUUGGGAAGAACACCCGUGGCGAAGGCGGCCAUCUGGACCGGUAUUGACGCUAAAGCGCGACAGCGUGGGGAGCAAACAGGAUUAGAUACCCUCGUAGUCCCUGAGCGGGCUGGCAAGGCGCAU